rnacentral:rRNA from 1 species
AUUGAACGCUGGCGGCAGGCUUAACACAUGCAAGUCGAGCGGGGGAAGGUAGCUUGCUACUGGACCUAGCGGCGGACGGGUGAGUAAUGCUUAGGAAUCUGCCUAUUAGUGGGGGACAACAUCUCGAAAGGGAUGCUAAUACCGCAUACGUCCUAAGGGAGAAAGCAGGGGAUCUUCGGACCUUGCGCUAAUAGAUGAGCCUAAGUCGGAUUAGCUAGUUGGUGGGGUAAAGGCCUACCAAGGAGACGAUCUGUAGCGGGUCUGAGAGGAUGAUCCGCCACACUGGGACUGAGACACGGCCCAGACUCCUACGGGAGGCAGCAGUGGGGAAUAUUGGACAAUGGGGGGAACCCUGAUCCAGCCAUGCCGUGUGUGUGAAGAAGGCCUUAUGGUUGUAAAGCACUUUAAGCGAGGAGGAGGCUACUCUAGUUAAUACCUAGGGAUAGUGGACGUUACUCGCAGAAUAAGCACCGGCUAACCCUGUGCCAGCCGCCGCCGUAA